rnacentral:lncRNA from 1 species
GGAGUUUUCCCUUUUGUUUCUAGUAUUUGAUGAGAAUGAAUCUUGGUACUUAGAUGAUAACAUCAAUACAUACUCUGAUCACCCUGAGAAAGUAAACAAAGACAACGAGGAAUUCAUAGAAAGCAAUAAAAUGCAUGCUAUCAAUGGGAAAAUGUUCGGAAACCUACAAGGUCUCACGAUGCACGUGGGAGACGAGGUCAACUGGUAUGUGAUGGCUAUGGGCAAUGAAAUAGACCUGCACACUGUACACUUCCACGGCCACAGCUUCCAAUACAAGCACAGGGGAAUUCAUAGUUCUGAUGUCUUUGACCUUUUUCCUGGAACAUACCAAACCCUAGAGAUGUUUCCCCAAACGCCUGGAACCUGGUUACUCCACUGCCAUGUGACUGACCAUAUUCAUGCGGGGAUGGUAACUACCUACACUGUUUUACCAAAUCAAGCAUCGUCUCAGAGCUACAGGAUGACCUGGAACAUACUCUAUACACUGUUAAUCAGCAUGACUACUUUAUUCCAAAUAUCUACCAAGGAGUAGCCAGGAAAAUAAGGUGUUUUCAAGAACAUUCUAAAAAUGAAGAUGGUUGUACAGCUCAUUUCCCUGCAACAAGACCAGUCCCUCAGCUCAGGGGCUUCCUCCAUCACCAGUUCCAUCCAGGAGCCAGGAUUCCAAAGCUCCUAAAUGUGAUCAACUAUAGACUUUGCCCCUCAAAAGCUAUAUUCUAAAUUAACAAGACAUGUGCUAUCACGCCAUAUUUAAAUUGUAUACGAUAUCGAAAUAUAUUGCAUAUUUUAAAAGUAAAAGAGGCAUUUUUAUUUACCUGUAGUUUCAAAAGGUCUUCUGUGUAAUUUUUAUCAGCUAAGGAAUCAGACGUCAUUAAGACAUGAACCCAUGGAUAUACUAGGCCAUAAUGACUGCAGGCGUUUAUCUGAAACAUUACAGAAAUGUGUCACGAGUCAAAUAUAACAAUAGCAAAACAAUUUCUUCAUCUAUUCAUUAAUCCUCUGCCACAUCUUAGACUCAGCUACAUACUCUCCUAAGAAAAGGAAGCUAUGCAGAAAGUAUUUCCCUGGAAAAGGUUGCAGUCUCGUUGGUUCCACAUCAAAUAGUCUGCAAUAAAUAUUUCCUAAUAUUUUGAAAUUUAAAAAAUUCUACAGAAGUGCUUUCUAGAAAAAAAAAGAAUAGCACUGCUCCUAGGAUAAUUACACUCAAAAAGAGUAAAAGAAAAUAGUGGAAGUAAUUUUUAUUUAUAGCAUUUUGGGGGUGACAAAAUAUCCUUUUAAGUUCUCAUGAUGAUUGCCAGGAUGUAUCCUUUAUCCAAGAAAUUACACUGCUGACCUUUCCAGGCACUGGAUAGUACCCUCAGUAGUCAUAGCAACAGGAUUCAAAGGAAAACAGAGCAGGAUGGGUGUCAAAGGCUGUCCUCGCUGCCUACAACACAUCUGAAGCCCAAGUGUGCCCUGACAGGGAACGGGACAGUGCAGUAGCCCCUUGCCCCAGCCCUUUCAAACCUACUCGGAGGCAACCCUUCUAGGUAAAGCCCCUCAUACACCACAGCACUGUAGGGUGGUAAUAAAGGAGCAUUAAUAACUAAAG